AUACCUUUCUCGGCCUUUUGGCUAAGAUCAAGUGUAGUAUCUGUUCUUAUCAGUUUAAUAUCUGAUAUGUGGGCCAUUGGCUCACACGAUAUUAAAUUUAUUUUUUGAGCGGGAAGGCCUAUCAAGGUAGCUUGCUACUUGGGCCUUCAAGCGUCGCCCAUGUGUUGCACUAUUGCACGGGCCUGGCGCACCCCAC